AUUGAGGAGUAUUUACUCAGUGAGUGCAAGAACUUUGUUUGAAACAGACCGCAAUGGAGAGAUCAGCGCCCAGGGAAGCGAGGGAACAGCAGGCUCCUUCCAGCGGCACAUCGGGAUGGGAGCCUGGGACUGAUUCGGGGGUUGUGAUUCAAAUUCAAAGAAGACAGAAGAUGUGACGAGUUAGAAUUGACAAUGGGGCAGUCGUGGUGUGUUGGAACACCGAGCAAGUACUCAAAGGACCAAGAUAAAGUAAUAUUCCCUCGGUACAGAGCCAAGUGUGACCAGCUGCUUCGAACAAACAGCAGGAUGUGGUCAUCUCUGCCAAGGUGGGAAGUGGAUGCGAUUCUGAAAUAUCCUUGAACCAAUCGACUUGCUCAGCCAGAAGGCAGUGAAGAGUUUGCAAAGGGUUAGGAAUCACGUGCAGAGCAGAGUGGAUGCUGCUAACCUGCUGAAAUUCUGAAGCAAUGUUUUUUAAAAGUGAGUUCAUGUCAAGACUUCAGCUGGACCCCAGUGAAGAAUGAGCACAGAUCAAAGAUGAAGAAUGAAUUACCUAGCUCUGUGAGGUUGAUGGAAUUCCUGGUCAUGUUAAAUCUCGUUCCAACCCCUGUUGAUUGUGACGCACAGAUAUCUGCCUUGGUGCUGGGACUGGAAGGAUUCAAUGGACAGCUCUCUCCUGUCUGAGCUCAAGUUGUAAUUACCGCUGGCAUUGUUUAAGGCUUAUCUUUGAAAGUACCAUUGAAAGUACGGUCCUGUACCACGACACAGUACACACUCUUGAACAAGACGAUUCCCAAUUAGAACCUCCAUUUUAUUGACUCUGGGGGGUGAGGAAAACCCCAGCAACAGGAACUGUAACAAAACAAGACAAAGAGGAAAUAAAAGAUUGGAUGUUGAAAUUGUCUUUCUUUCCACAGAUGUUAACUUCCACGACCGAAUAAUAACUGACAGAAAGAAGAAAUAA